CCUACGUGGAGCAGCAGUGAGGAAUAUUGGUCAAUGGGCUUACGCCUGAACCAGCCAAGUCGCGUGAGGGAAGACUGCCCUAUGGGUUGUAAACCUCUUUUGUCAGGGAGCAACGCCGGCUACGUGUAGCCGGACUGAGAGUACCUGCAGAAAAAGCAUCGGCUAACUCCGUGCCAGCAGCCGCGGUACUACGGAGGAUGCGAUCGUUAUCCGGCUUUAUUGGGUUUAAAGGGUGCGGAGUCGGACUGCCAAGUCAGCGGUAAAAUCGCGGGGCUCAAACUCGUUCCGCCGGUGAAACUGGCGUUCUUGAGUGGGCGAGAAGUAUGCGGAAUGCGUGGUGUAGCGGUGAAAUGCAUAGAUAUCACGCAGAACUCCGAUUGCGAAGGCAGCAUACCGGCGCCCAACUGACGCUGAAGCACGAAAGCGUGGGUAUCGAACAGGAUUAGAUACCCUAGUAGUC
rnacentral:rRNA from 1 species